UACGUAGGGGUCUAGCGUUGUCCGGAAUUAUUGGGCGUAAAGAGCUCGUAGGCGGUUCGGCAAGUCGGAUGUGAAAUCUCCACGCUUAACGUGGAGGGGCCAUUCGAAACUGCCGUGACUCGAGUCCGGUAGGGGAGUGCGGAAUUCCCGGUGUAGUGGUGAAAUGCGUAGAUAUCGGGAGGAACACCAGUGGCGAAGGCGACUACCUGGCCUGUUCUUGACGCUGAGGCGCGAAAGCUAGGGGAGCAAACGGG
rnacentral:rRNA from 1 species